CAGUAUAAGAUUCAGGGUUGAAGCUGGCUCUGAAUGAAGAGCAUGUGCUCGCCCUGGUUAUUAUCCAUUUUAUUACACCCUUGUGCACCUUGGAUAAGUUGGCUUUGGUUGACUUGUCUGACUUUAUUAAUGAUGCCUGUCUUAUGCAUGUCUUACCCCUUCAAAGGGGGCGCAUAUAA
rnacentral:misc_RNA from 1 species